CAUGAAAUUUCAUAUACAUAUAUAUUUGUACGCGGACAUUGGCUAUUAUUAAAAUGAACCUAUAGUUCUGAAAAAUCAAUAGUUUUUUGGGGACCUUAGGUUCCUUUCUAUCACUGUGACCACUGUCCAUCCCCUUUUGCCUAGUAAAAUUGUAAAUUAAAUUAAGAUUACUUGCCGUAUUUCCAUCAGGAAAUGCUGGUGUCUUCUGUGAUCCCAUCCAAUUCUAUGCUUCUCAAAGAGCGGAACUGGUGGGUGAGCACCAUUUGAUUGCAGGACAGAGUUUGACCCAAGUUCUAGAAUUGAAGGCACGUCUAGUAGCGGUCAGGACAACAGCCACCAGGUGUGUGUUUAACACUUCAAUGUAAACAUUGGAUGGUUAAAAUGACAGGACCACUUCUUUGGGAUGAAAUGUUCUGGGUGACUUUUAUGGCUGUUUAAACAUUUUAUCUUUAC